UUCAUGAUGGGAGCAUUUUGAGUUAUGCUUGUACCAGUGUGAGCUAACUUACCCAUAUGGCAGCUAUGGGUAGAACCAGGCAAGGACUAUGUCAAGUCAUGAAAAGGAGUGAACUGGAACAAUGAAUCACCUUGUUCAAACCACAGGGCUUCGGAAAAUAUAAAUACAAGUAUAAUAUCAUCAUGAAGAACUUCAGAGGAAAACAAAGCAAAGGAGCCUUGGUCUUCACAAUUACCCAUAACAGUGAUGGCGAACCUUUUAGAGACAAGUGCCCGAACUGCAACUCCUAGCCCACAUAUUUAUC